rnacentral:rRNA from 1 species
GGGGAAUAUUGCACAAUGGGGGAAACCCUGAUGCAGCGACGCCGCGUGAAGGAUGAAGGUUUUCGGAUCGUAAACUUCUAUCAGCAGGGACGAUAAUGACGGUACCUGACUAAGAAGCCCCGGCUAACUACGUGCCAGCAGCCGCGGUAAUACGUCGGGGGCUAGCGUUAUCCGGAAUUACUGGGCGUAAAGGGUGCGUAGGUGGUUUUUUAAGUCAGAAGUGAAAGGCUACGGCUCAACCGUAGUAAGCUUUUGAAACUAGAGAACUUGAGUGCAGGAGAGGAGAGUAGAAUUCCUAGUGUAGCGGUGAAAUGCGUAGAUAUUAGGAGGAAUACCAGUAGCGAAGGCGGCUCUCUGGACUGUAACUGACACUGAGGCACGAAAGCGUGGGGAGCAAAC